rnacentral:rRNA from 1 species
AGCUGCAUUAUUUGAACGCUAGCGACAGAAGAAGCAACAGUCUUACUGCGUGCCAGCAGCCGUAGGUAAUACGGAGGGUGCGAGCAUUAAUCGGAAUUACUGGGCGUAUAGCGCAUGCAGGUGGUUUGUUAAGUCAGAUGUGAAAGCCCGGGGCUCAACCUCGGAAUUGCAUUUGAAACUGGCAGACUAGAGUACUGUAGAGGGGGGUAGAAUCUCAGGUGUAGCGGUGAAAUGCGUAGAGAUCUGAAGGAAUACCGGUGGCGAAGGCGGCCCCCUGGACAGAUACUGACACUCAGAUGCGAAAGCGUGGGGAGCAAACAGGAUUAGAUACCCUGGUAGUCCACGCCGUAAACGAUGUCUACUUGGAGGUUGUGGCCUUGAGCCGUGGCUUUCGGAGCUAACGCGUUAAGUAGACCGCCUGGGGAGUACGGUCGCAAGAUUAAAACUCAAAUGAAUUGACGGGGGCCCGCACAAGCGGUGGAGCAUGUGGUUUAAUUCGAUGCAACGCGAAGAACCUUACCUACUCUUGACAUCCAGAGAACUUUCCAGAGAUGGAUUGGUGCCUUCGGGAACUCUGAGACAGGUGCUGCAUGGCUGUCGUCAGCUCGUGUUGUGAAAUGUUGGGUUAAGUCCCGCAACGAGCGCAACCCUUAUCCUUGUUUGCCAGCGAGUAAUGUCGGGAACUCCAGGGAGACUGCCGGUGAUAAACCGGAGGAAGGUGGGGACGACGUCAAGUCAUCAUGGCCCUUACGAGUAGGGCUACACACGUGCUACAAUGGCGCAUACAGAGGGCGGCCAACUUGCGAAAGUGAGCGAAUCCCAAAAAGUGCGUCGUAGUCCGGAUUGGAGUCUGCAACUCGACUCCAUGAAGUCGGAAUCGCUAGUAAUCGUGGAUCAGAAUGCCAUGGUGAAUACGUUCCCGGGCCUUGUACACACCGCCCGUCACACCAUGGGAGUGGGCUGCAAAAGAAGUAGGUAGUUUAACCUUCGGGGAGACGCU